rnacentral:lncRNA from 10 species
CAGAUUUUCUCUCAAUCUUAAGUCUCUGUCAUUUAAAAUAAGUCUGGGUGUCUAGGGUUAUGAGAUCAAAUUGUGUUUCUUUGUCACUGGAAAUCCCCACUUCAAACCUUAAGAACAAGCCAUUCAAAAGCUUGCACUGAGGCAACACACUUAAUAGGAAAGCAUGACUUCAUUUUGGCAUGAUUCGUCUUCAAAUCAGUGCAGGUCUGCGGCUUAACUGCUGAAGCCAGCGAGACCAUGAACCAUGGGGAGAGUGGAACAACUCUGGAUGGGAGGAACCAACAACUCUGGACACCACCUUUAUGAACUGUAACACUCAUCUGGAAGGUCUGCAGUUUCAGUCCUGAGGCCAGCGAGACCAGGAACCCACCGGAAGGAAUGACAACUCCAGAUGUGCCACCUUUAAGAGUUGUAACACUCACGGGGAAGGUCUGCAGCUUCACCCCUGAAGUCAGCGCGACCACGAACCCACGAACCCACUAGAGAGAAGAAACUCGGGACGCAUCUGAAAAUAUGAAGGAACAGACUCCAGACACACCAUCUUUAAGAAUUGUAACACUCGCUGCGAAGGUCCGCGGCAUCAUUCUUGAAGUCAGACCAAGAACCCACCAAUUCCAGACACAAUCAUAAAAUUAAACUUCCUCUAAUAGAGAGGGACAGUAAAUGUAAUCUGUAUUUCUGUUCAUGCAGUCAUUGGUAGUGAAUUAUUUAAAUAUAUAAAAUAUUCUCCAAUAAUUUGUAACAGGACAAUUACCUAUCUAAUUUUUGCUCUUUAUAAAAUGAAAUGUAAUCUCCGUCUAAUAAUUCAAAUUGUUUUUAGAAGCUGGUCUAACAGGAAUGUUUCUUAUUCCAUAUGUUAACACACUUACUUUGUUUUUAGUUUUGGUCAUCUUUAUAAAAUCACAAAUCUCCUCUACAUUAUGUAUUUAUGCGAAACAUACACUUCUCUUGGAUUGUCAAAACGAACUCUCUCCCUUAAAAAUCAUUGUAAUAUUUAGCUUUAAUAGCCUCUCCCCAGAGUGAAAGAAAACCUUAUUAUUUCUUACUAUAAAAGCAAGAAUGUGUCUAUGCCAAAUUUCUUUAAUAACUGGGACCAGUUCUCACUGUCUUUAUAUGAACCAAGGUCAAGGGUUCAUGAGGUUUAAUAGCACGUAACAUUCUCUUCUAGGGAAUAAAACUGUGAAAAGUUAUCCUGAGUGGAAAAUCCACUUUAUGAUUACUUUCAAGGUAGUUUUGAUAGUAUAUUAUCCUUUUCCCAUCAAUCAGGGGUAAUAUAGAUGUUUAUAUUGAUUUUACUUACACUGAAUUACUCUCAGAAAUUCUACUUCAUAAAAGAAUGUCAUAAUUCAUUUUGUUUUGCUUUUGAAAGCUCACGUGUACAUUCCAAAGCAUACCUAUUAUCCAAGGCAGCCACUGAAAGACUUGGGGAAUCAAGUAAUAAAA